rnacentral:rRNA from 1 species
CCUACGUGUGGCAGCAGUGAGGAAUAUUGGUCAAUGGACGAGAGUCUGAACCAGCCAAGUAGCGUGAAGGAUGACUGCCCUAUGGGUUGUAAACUUCUUUUAUAUGGGAAUAAAAUAGGGCAUGCAUACCUUUUUGUAUGUACUAUAUGAAUAAGGAUCGGCUAACUCCGUGCCAGCAGCCGCGGUAAUACGGAGGCUCCGAGCGUUAUCCGGAUUUAUUGGGUUUAAAGGGAGCGUAGGUGGAUUGUUAAGUCAGUUGUGAAAGUUUGCGGCUCAAACGUAAAAUUGCAGUUGAUACUGGCAGUCUUGAGUACAGUAGAGGGUGGCGGAAUUCGUGGUGUAGCGGUGAAAUGCUUAGGUAUCACGAAGAACUCCGAUUGCGAAGGCAGCUGA